UACGUAGGGUGCGAGCGUUGUCCGGAAUUACUGGGCGUAAAGAGCUCGUAGGUGGUUUGUCGCGUUGUUCGUGAAAUCUCACGGCUUAACUGUGAGCGUGCGGGCGAUACGGGCAGACUAGAGUACUGCAGGGGAGACUGGAAUUCCUGGUGUAGCGGUGGAAUGCGCAGAUAUCAGGAGGAACACCGGUGGCGAAGGCGGGUCUCUGGGCAGUAACUGACACUGGAGGAGCGAAAGCCGUGGGGGCGAACAGGA
rnacentral:rRNA from 1 species